rnacentral:rRNA from 1 species
AUUGAACGCUGGCGGCAGGCCUAACACAUGCAAGUCGAGCGGAGCGGGGACGGGUGAGUAACACGUGGGUAACCUCCCAUCAGAGGGGAUAACACUUGGAAACAGGUGCUAAACCGAUAUUGAUGGAUGGACCCGCGGUGCAUUAGCUAGUUGGUGAGGUAACGGCGCACCAAGGCCACGAUGCAUAGCCGACCUGAGAGGUUGUUCGGCAACCAAGGGACUGGUCCACGGCCCAAACCCCUACGGGUGGCAGCAGUAGGGAAUCUUCGACAAUGGACGCAAGUCUGCCAGAGCAACCCCCCGUGAGUGAAGAAGGUUUUCGGAUCGAAAAACUCUGUUGUUAGAGAAGCGGUAUCUAACCAGAAAGCCACGGCUAACUACGUGCCAGCAGCCGCGUUAAUUC